CGUUAGGUACAAUAUGAUUAUAUAAAUAAAUAAUACAUGUACAUUGUACAUGUUAAUAUAGGUAGUGAAAGUUUUUUUUAAAGUUUUUAUUAUAAUAAUAAAUUUGUAACACAAUGAAUUCGGGUAAUUAUAUACAUAAUAAUAGUAUAGAAAUACAUAAAUAUAUAUGUAUCUAAAUUAAAUACUAAAAUUACUAUUUUAAAUUACCUUGUACAUUGGUAAUUGCCAUAUAGGUACUGACUAUAGUGUCUAUAAUAAUAAUUUAUACUAAGUUUGUAAUUUACUGAAUUUUUCAUGGGAGCCCCCCUCCCUCAUAUGACAGUCAUAUUUUGCAUGCCAGAACCCAGAGCCCAUUCAUAAUACGCAUUAUUGGAAAAUUUGGGGGGCCCCCUUAUAAAUAUAAGCCUCCUGACUGAAUUUAGUUAGUUGUUUUUGCGAUUCUUUUUGCAAACAUUAUUGAAAUUCUUUUAUUCCUAAAUUCUUAAACUGAGUAGGUAUGUUUUAAUUAUUUUGCAGUUAAUUUAUAAGGAUAAAUUAUUUGAAUUUCAUUACCUAUUGUUAACAAUCAUUUAUGUAACUAUAAUUAAGUGAUUUGUACUUCACAUUAUUUAUUGAUUUUAUAUUUUUAUGAUAAAUCGCUUAAGUACCUAUGUAAAAAUAUGUUUUUAAUGGUUAUCUUUUUAGUUUUUUAAUAACUCAUGCAAGUAUUUUAUUACUGUUUAAAAGUUAAUUUAAUUA